CGCAAAUUACCCAAUCCUGACACAGGGAGGUAGUGACAAGAAAUAACAAUACGGGGCUUACAAGUCUUGUAAUUGGAAUGAUGGGAAUUUAAACCUCUUCCAGAGUAUCAAUUGGAGGGCAAGUCUGGUGCCAGCAGCCGCGGUAAUUCCAGCUCCAAUAGCGUAUAUUAAAAUUGUUGCAGUUAAAAAGCUCGUAGUUGAAUUUCUGCUGCAUCGCUGUGUCCCUUCGGGGUCUCUGCAUGUGGCUUAUCUUCAGACGGAGUUUUCUUUGUCUGGAUGUUUACUUUGAGAAAAUUAGAGUGCUCAAAGCAGGCUUUUGCCUUGAAUAGUUUAGCAUGGAAUAAUAAAGUAGGACUUUGAGUUCUAUUUUGUUGGUUUUAGGUACCAAAGUAAUGGUUAAUAGGAACAGUUGGGGGCAUUCGUAUUUAA
rnacentral:rRNA from 1 species